CACGUAGGGCGCAAGCGUUGUCCGGAAUUAUUGGGCGUAAAGAGCUCGUAGGCGGUCUGUUGCGUCCGCUGUGAAAACUCGGGGCUUAACCCCGAGCCUGCAGUGGAUACGGGCAGACUAGAGGUAGGUAGGGGAGAAUGGAAUUCCCGGUGUAGCGGUGAAAUGCGCAGAUAUCGGGAGGAACACCGGUGGCGAAGGCGGUUCUCUGGGCCUUACCUGACGCUGAGACGCGAAAGCGUGGGGAGCGAACCGG
rnacentral:rRNA from 1 species